GAGCAGUGAUGUUUACAAAUUGUGAACGAUUGGGUCGUCACUUACAUUUGAUUUAUAAGAUGAGAUAAUGUGUAUCUGAGCUU
rfam:Solanum lycopersicum cultivar Heinz 1706 chromosome 8, whole genome shotgun sequence.